rnacentral:rRNA from 1 species
UACGAAGGGGGCUAGCGUUGCUCGGAAUCACUGGGCGUAAAGGGCGCGUAGGUGGUUCUGUAUGUCUACCGUGAAAGCAUACAGCUCAACUGUAUUUUGUCGGUAGAAACUGCAGGACUUGAGGCUGGGAGGGGCUGGUGGAAUUCCCUGUGUAGCGGUGAAAUGCGUAGAGAUGGGGGAGAACACUCGUGGCGAAGGCGGCCAGCUAGACCAGUUCUGACACUGAGGCGCGACAGCGUGGGGAGCAAACAGG